UUUCAAAGUGGCAGCGCCGUGUGGAGCCCGGGAUCAGCGGGGGAUUCGCCCGCUGACCCUGGGCUCCCUGCAGCGCUGCCACUUUGAAU
rnacentral:pre_miRNA from 1 species